rnacentral:rRNA from 1 species
UACGUAGGGUGCGAGCGUUAAUCGGAAUUACUGGGCGUAAAGCGUGCGCAGGCGGUUGUGCAAGACAGAUGUGAAAUCCCCGAGCUUAACUUGGGAACUGCAUUUGUGACUGCACGGCUAGAGUGUGUCAGAGGGGGGUAGAAUUCCACGUGUAGCAGUGAAAUGCGUAGAUAUGUGGAGGGAUACCGAUGGCGAAGGCAGCCCCCUGGGAUAACACUGACGCUCAUGCACGAAAGCGUGGGGAGCAAACAGG